AGCAGAGAUGCUUUAGUGCCUUCGGGAACUCUGAGACAGGUGCUGCAUGGCUGUCGUCAGCUCGUGUUGUGAAAUGUUGGGUUAAGUCCCGCAACGAGCGCAACCCUUAUCCUUUGUUGCCAGCACGUAAUGGUGGGAACUCAAAGGAGACUGCCGGUGAUAAACCGGAGGAAGGUGGGGAUGACGUCAAGUCAUCAUGGCCCUUACGAGUAGGGCUACACACGUGCUACAAUGGCGCAUACAAAGAGAAGCGACCUCGCGAGAGCAAGCGGACCUCAUAAAGUGCGUCGUAGUCCGGAUUGGAGUCUGCAACUCGACUCCAUGAAGUCGGAAUCGCUAGUAAUCGUAAAUCAGAAUGUUACGGUGAAUACGUUCCCGGGCCUUGUACACACCGCCCGUCACACCAUGGGAGUGGGUUGCAAAAGAAGUAGAUAGCUUAACCUUCGGGAGGGCGUUUACCACUUUGUGAUUCAUGACUGGGGUGAAGUCGUAACAAGGUAGGCGUAGUGCU
rnacentral:rRNA from 1 species